GACGAACGCUGGCGGCGUGCUUAACACAUGCAAGUCGAACGGAAAGGCCCUGCUUUUGUGGGGUGCUCGAGUGGCGAACGGGUGAGUAACACGUGAGUAACCUGCCCUUGACUUUGGGAUAACUUCAGGAAACUGGGGCUAAUACCGGAUAGGAGCUCCUGCUGCAUGGUGGGGGUUGGAAAGUUUCGGCGGCUGGGGAUGGACUCGCGGCUUAUCAGCUUGUUGGUGGGGUAGUGGCUUACCAAGGCUUUGACGGGUAGGCGGCCUGGGAGGGUGACCGGCCACAUGGGGACUGAGAUACGGCCCAGACGCGUACGGGAGGCAGCAGUGGGGAAUAUUGCACAAUGGGCGGAAGCCGGAGGCAGCAACGCCGCGUGCGGGAUGACGGCCUUCGGGUUGUAAACCGCUUUCGCCUGUGACGAAGCGUGAGUGACGGUAAUGGGUAAAGAAGCACCGGCUAACUACGUG
rnacentral:rRNA from 1 species